AGGAAGGAAGGAAGGAAGGAAGGAAGGAAGGAAGGAAGGAAGGACAGGGAGAAAGGAGGGAGGGAGGAGCUGAUGAUGGAAGGAAGGAAGGAAGGAGCUGAUGAUGGAUUAAAGGAAGGAAGGAAGGAAAAUUAAGUAACAGCCAGCCCCUGUAUGUUUUUUCCUUGCAGUGCUUCUAUCAAUGGGCACAAUAGCAACCAUCCAGUAUCAGCUGGCCAGUGUGCCAAUGAUUGGCUCAAGCUUCUUUGUCGUGGAGCUGAACCUGAUUCUCCGAACCGGAACCCGAUUCAUCACGAUUCCUUUCAGCAACGUCCCCACCCCCCUGCCGUCGCUCAACAAGAAUGCUCUCAGCCUGGGUCUUUCUCAGGCCAGCCUGAACAUCCUCAUCGAUGUUAUUCUCCAGAUGAAAGUGAAAGAAUUCAUGUCCACACCUGAAGUGGUGAGUGGCGCACGUGUGCAUCCCAAAGGGGGUGAAGGAACUGCAAGCGAGAAGGGUCUCUGGAUCCUCAAAAGCCGUUGAGAGGAGACUGGACUGAGAGUGCUGGGCUGUGUGGAACGGAGAGUUAAUUCUUCCCCCAAUUGACCAAAAUUGUCGUGACAGCCUCAGCACUCCAGAUCUGGCGGGGAUGGGAUUCUGUGUCUGUUGUGCUGCUUUCUCCGAAGCCGACACAGGUUUUAUUUUAUUUAUUUAUUUAUUUAUUUUAUUUAUAUCCCGCCUAUCUAGUCGUGGUGGACUACUCUAGGCGGGUUUUCCACCUGACUUUGCCUGCCUUUAGCUUUAACGGAGGCCUUGGGUUUUUGGGUAUUUGGCAAAAGGGUAUUUGUCUCCCAGGAUAUUUGCUUAGGAGUUUCAGCUACCCAACAGCCCACCUGUCACCAACCUGCUGAAGGUUGCUCAAACAAAAUGGGGGGGGAUCUAGGGUGGGGGCAACAAGGGGCCAGGUCUGCUUAGGCA
ensembl:lncRNA